ACUAUCCAGAGGAGAAAACAAACUUACAAAAUGGUCUGCUCUGUCGCCCAGGCUGGAGUGCAGUGGAUAUCUUCCGCCUCCCCAGUUCAAGCAAUUCUUGUGCCUCAGCCUCCUCAGUAGCUGAGAUCACAGGCGUGUGCCAUCACGCCCAGCUAAUCUUUGUAUUUUCGGUAGAGACGAGGUUUUGCCAUGUUGACCAGUCUGGUCUGAAGCUCCUGGGCUCAAGUGAUCUGCCCGCCUCGGCCUCCCAAAGUGCUGGGAUUACAGGCGUGAGCCACUGUGGCUGGCUUAAAAAUACUUUUUGUAAAAGAAAUCAUCUUUCAUUUUCUGUCCUGGAG
rnacentral:lncRNA from 10 species